CCAAUAUGCCCACACAAUUCUUCUGAAGGAAGAAAAAGCCCAAGGACAACAUAUAUAUUUUCCUAGACAAAAAGUAUUUUUUUACAAAACUCCAAAAUGUAUAGUUGCAUCAAAAAGCAGGUUACCUGAUGCAAACUAUUUGGGAAGGAGAAAAUAGAACUAAUGAUAGCAGUGAGCUUUCAACCCACAGGGCUCACAUAUAGAUCUCAUCCUCAACAGCAGCUGACAUGGCUAAAGGGAUAAAAGUACUGAAGAGUUUUGCAAAUGAAACUCUCCUUCACCUUCAAACAAAUCCCAUAAGCUAUUUUAACCCUUCAGAAGAUCCCUUUUAAAUCUGAUUAAGAGGCUUUCAUUCAUCAAGCUUUGGGAUGGGUUGACCGGAUAAAUUGAAGCUCUGAAAUCCUGCUGUGGGUUCAAGAAAAAUAUGUCAUGAAUUUCAGUAAUAGUAAAAUAUGUGAAUUGCCUACAUCAUAGCACAAAUGUCAGCAAUAAAAACUAUCUGCUCUUUUUUUUUUUAAUU